AGUCGUGGAUUCAGCAACCAGAGAACACGCGGGAGCUGCCUUUGAUCUGCUGGGCUGCAAGGCCCCAGAGGACGGCAACCUCCAAGAUGAGGAAGUUUCUGAUCAAGCGAUGCCCGGCUUCCAGUUCCUAGAAGUCAGUCCGAUUCUCAUCCCAGUAGAAGAGGGCAGCAGGAUUUUGAGUCCACAGCACUCAAAAGCAUUUAUGAAGUUAAGCCAUUGUGCGGAGACUUCAGGAUGACAGACCAGAUAAUGCAAACCAGCCAUUGAAGGAAGAGGCAGAAAGAAUGGAAGAGCACCAGAGAGCAAACAUGAGGCCAAAUCUGAAUUAAGAGACAGUAACCAUAUUGAAUAGUGGUUUCUCUUGGA